UUAAGCGGAAAAAGCGGAGCCGUAGCGAAAGCGAGUCUGAAUAGGGCGCAUAAGUAACAGGUCGUAGACCCGAAACCAGGUGAUCUACCCAUGUCCAGGAUGAAGGUAAGGUAAUACUUACUGGAGGUCCGAACCCACGCACGUUGAAAAGUGCGGGGAUGAGGUGUGGGUAGCGGAGAAAUUCCAAUCGAACUUGGAGAUAGCUGGUUCUCUCCGAAAUAGCUUUAGGGCUAGCCUCGAGGUAAAGAGUCAUGGAGGUAGAGCACUGUUUGGACUAGGGGCCCUUCUCGGGUUACCGAAUUCAGAUAAACUCCGAAUGCCAUGUACUUAUACUCGGGAGUCAGACUGCGAGUGAUAAGAUCCGUAGUCGAAAGGGAAACAGCCCAGACCACCAGUUAAGGUCCCCAAAUAUAUGUUAAGUGGAAAAGGAUGUGGGGUUGCUUAGACAACCAGGAUGUUGGCUUAGAAGCAGCCACCAUUGAAAGAGUGCGUAAUAGCUCACUGGUCGAGUGACCCCGCGCCGAAAAUGUACCGGGGCUAAACAUAUUACCGAAACUGUGGAUGAACCUCUUUAGAGGUUCGUGGUAGGAGAGCGUUCUAAGGGCGGUGAAGUCAGACCGGAAGGACUGGUGGAGCGCUUAGAAGUGAGAAUGCCGGUAUGAGUAGCGAAAGAAGGGUGAGAAUCCCUUCCACCGAAUAUCUAAGGUUUCCUGAGGAAGGCUCGUCCGCUCAGGGUUAGUCGGGACCUAAGCCGAGGCCGAUAGGCGUAGGCGAUGGACAACAGGUAGAGAUUCCUGUACCAGUGCUAAUUGUUUAACCGAUGGGGUGACACAGAAGGAUAGGGAAUCGCACGAAUGGAAAUGUGCGUCCAAGCAGUGAGUGUGAG
rnacentral:rRNA from 1 species